UACGUAGGGACCGAGCGUUGUCCGGAAUCAUUGGGCGUAAAGAGCGUGUAGGCGGCCACUUAAGUCCUGCGUGAAAUCUUGCGGCUCAACCGCAAGCGGUCGUGGGAAACUGGGUGGCUAGAGUGCGGGAGAGGAGAGUGGAAUUCCUGGUGUAGCGGUGGAAUGCGCAGAUAUCAGGAGGAACACCAAUGGCGAAGGCAGCUCGCUGGGACGUGACUGACGCUGAGACGCGAAAGCGUGGGGAGCAAACAGG
rnacentral:rRNA from 1 species